rnacentral:rRNA from 1 species
GAUGAACGCUGGCGGCGUGCCUAACACAUGCAAGUCGAGCGAACACACGAGGAGCGUGCCUGUCUAACGGCAGCGGGGGACGUGAGAGUAACGAGUGGAUAACCUAGCUAUAAGACUGGGAUAACUACGGGAAACCGUAGCGCAUACCGUAUAAGAUAUUGAACCGCAUGGUUCAAGAGUGAAAGACGGUUUUGCUGUCACUGAUAGAUGGAUCCGCGGCGCAUUAGCUAGUUGGUAAGGUAACGGCUUACCAAGGCAACGAUGCGUAGCCGGUCUGAGAGGAUGAUCGGCCACACUGGAACUGAGACACGGCCCAGACUCCUACGGGAGGCAGCAGUAGGGAAUCUUGCGCAAUGGGCGAAAGCCUGACGCAGCAACGCCGCGUGAGUGAUGAAGGUCUUCGGGUCGUAAACCUCUGUUAUUAGGGACGAACAAAUGUGUAAGUAACUAGGCACGUCUUGACGGUACCUAAUCAGAAAGCAACGGCUAACUACGUG